AACGAAAUAGCUCAGAUGGGAGAGUAUUAAACUACCUAUAUAUCGAAUAGUCCCUGGUUCGAUCCCGGGUUCCGGCA
rnacentral:tRNA from 1 species